rnacentral:rRNA from 1 species
CCUACGGGAGACAGCAGUGGGGAAUAUAGCACAAUGGGGGAAACCCUGAUGCAGCGACGCCGCGUGAGUGAAGAAGGAUUUCGGUAUGUAAAGCUCUAACAGCAGGGAAGAAAAUGACGGUACCUGAGUAAGAAGCCCCGGCUAACUACGUGCCAGCAGCCGCGGUAAUACGUAGGGGGCAAGCGUUAUCCGGAUUUACUGGGUGUAAAGGGAGCGUAGACGGCAGCACAAGUCUGGAGUGAAAUGCCGGGGCUUAACCCCGGAACUGCUUUGGAAACUGUGCAGCUAGAGUGCAGGAGAGGUAAGUGGAAUUCCUAGUGUAGCGGUGAAAUGCGUAGAUAUUAGGAGGAACACCAGUGGCGAAGGCGGCUUACUGGACUGUAACUGACGUUGAGGCUCGAAAGCGUGGGGAGCAAACAGGAUUAGAUACCCUUGUAGUC